UUGCUGUGAUGACAAUCUUAGGACACCUUUGGAUUAACCGUGAAAUAACUCAAGUUCUGAGCAAC
ensembl:snoRNA SNORD58 Small nucleolar RNA SNORD58